rnacentral:SRP_RNA from 1 species
GUCUGGGUCCUGCGCAAUAAGACUCUGCGAACCUUGUCAGGUCCGGAAGGAAGCAGCAAUAAGCGGAAGCUCUUAUGUGCCGC